rnacentral:rRNA from 1 species
CCAGACUCCUACGGGAGGCAGCAGUGGGGAAUAUUGCACAAUGGGCGAAAGCCUGAUGCAGCAACGCCGCGUGAAGGAAGAAGGCCUUCGGGUCGUAAACUUCUGUCCUUGGGGAAGAAGAACUGACGGUACCCAAGGAGGAAGCCCCGGCUAACUACGUGCCAGCAGCCGCGGUAAUACGUAGGUGGCAAGCGUUGUCCGGAUUUACUGGGUGUAAAGGGCGUGUAGCCGGGAAGGCAAGUCAGAUGUGAAAUCCGGAGGCUCAACCUCCGAAUUGCAUUUGAAACUGUUUUUCUUGAGUACUGGAGAGGCAGACGGAAUUCCUUGUGUAGCGGUGAAAUGCGUAGAUAUAAGGAGGAACACCAUUGGCGAAGGCGGUCUGCUGGACAGCAACUGACGGUGAGGCGCGAAAGCGUGGGGAGCAAACAGGAUUAGAUACCCCUGUAAAA